UACGUAGGGGGCAAGCGUUGUCCGGAAUCAUUGGGCGUAAAGCGCGCGUAGGCGGCCCGGUCAGUCCGUUGUGAAAGUCAAAGGCUCAACCUUUGAAUGCCGACGGAUACUGCCGGGCUAGAGUCCGGAAGAGGCGAGUGGAAUUCCUGGUGUAGCGGUGGAAUGCGCAGAUAUCAGGAGGAACACCUAUAGCGAAGGCAGCUCGCUGGGCCGGGACUGACGCUCAGGCGCGAAAGCGUGGGGAGCGAACAGG
rnacentral:rRNA from 1 species